rnacentral:rRNA from 1 species
UAGCUAGUUGGUGAGGUAAUGGCCCACCAAGGCAACGAUCGGUAGCCGGACUGAGAGGUUGAACGGCCACAUUGGGACUGAGACACGGCCCAGACUCCUACGGGAGGCAGCAGUGGGGAAUAUUGCACAAUGGGGGAAACCCUGAUGCAGCGACGCCGCGUGGAGGAAGAAGGUCUUCGGAUUGUAAACUCCUGUUGUUGAGGAAGAUAAUGACGGUACUCAACAAGGAAGUGACGGCUAACUACGUGCCAGCAGCCGCGGUAAAACGUAGGUCACAAGCGUUAUCCGGAAUUACUGGGUGUAAAGGGAGCGCAGGCGGGAAGACAAGUUGGAAGUGAAAUCUAUGGGCUCAACCCAUAAACUGCUUUCAAAACUGUUUUUCUUGAGUAGUGCAGAGGUAGGCGGAAUUCCCGGUGUAGCGGUGGAAUGCGUAGAUAUCGGGAGGAACACCAGUGGCGAAGGCGGCCUACUGGGCACCAACUGACGCUGAGGCUCGAAAGUGUGGGUAGCAAACAGGAUUAGAUACCCUGGUAGUCCACACCGUAAACGAUGAUUACUAGGCGUUGGAGGAUUGACCCCUUCAGUGCCGCAGUUAACACAAUAAGUAAUCCACCUGGGGAGUACGACCGCAAGGUUGAAACUCAAAGGAAUUGACGGGGGCCCGCACAAGCAGUGGAGUAUGUGGUUUAAUUCGACGCAACGCGAAGAACCUUACCAAGUCUUGACAUCCUGCGACGGACAUAGAAAUAUGUCUUUCCUUCGGGACGCAGAGACAGGUGGUGCAUGGUUGUCGUCAGCUCGUGUCGUGAGAUGUUGGGUUAAGUCCCGCAACGAGCGCAACCCUUACUGUCAGUUACUACGCAAGAGGACUCUGGCAGGACUGCCGUUGACAAAACGGAGGAAGGUGGGGAUGACGUCAAAUCAUCAUGCCCUUUAUGACUUGGGCUACACACGUACUACAAUGGCGUUAAACAAAGAGAAGCAAGACCGCGAGGUGGAGCAAAACUCAGAAACAACGUCCCAGUUCGGACUGCAGGCUGCAACUCGCCUGCACGAAGUCGGAAUUGCUAGUAAUCGUGGAUCAGCAUGCCACGGUGAAUACGUUCCCGGGCCUUGUACACACCGCCCGUCACACCAUGAGAGCCGGGGGGACCCGAAGUCGGUAGUCUAACCGCAAGGAGGACGCCGCCGAAGGUAAAACUGGUGAUUGGGGUGAAGUCGUAACAAGGUAA